rnacentral:tRNA from 1 species
GCCCCUAUAGCUCAGUGGAUGAGAGCAACCGGCUUCUACCCGGUGGGUCGCGGGUUCGAAUCCUGCUGGGGGCG